GGAGAGGUGUCCGAGCUGGCCGAAGGAGCACGAUUGGAAAUCGUGUGCACGCUAACCCCGUGCCGAGAGUUCGAAUCUCUCCCUCUCCGCCA
rnacentral:tRNA from 1 species